CCGUACGAUGACCGAAGUUAAGCAACGUUGAGCCUGGUCAGUACCUAGAUGGGUGACCGCUUGGGAAUACCAGGUGCUGUAAG